rnacentral:rRNA from 1 species
GUGCCAGCAGCCGCGGUAAUACGGAGGGGGCUAGCGUUGUUCGGAAUUACUGGGCGUAAAGCGCACGUAGGCGGACCAGAAAGUUGGGGGUGAAAUCCCGGGGCUCAACCUCGGAACUGCCUUCAAAACUAUUGGUCUUGAGUUCGAGAGAGGUGAGUGGAAUUCCGAGUGUAGAGGUGAAAUUCGUAGAUAUUCGGAGGAACACCAGUGGCGAAGGCGGCUCACUGGCUCGAUACUGACGCUGAGGUGCGAAAGCGUGGGGAGCAAACAGGAUUAGAU